UUAUCCCAAAACUAAAAAGCGUUAUAAAAUCCAACGACCCAAUCUCAGCCUGAUCAGGUAUAGGCUGAAAUAUGCACCCCGCUUUACCGUGGCCCACUGAUGAAAAUAUGUCUCACUUUCAUCACUAGCCAAGACUCCACUGGCCAAGCCAAAUAUACCCUAUGACUCCUCACUCCUGCGUCUUAUCCUCUUUCCCCUUCUGCCUCAGCUUUCUCCGUCAUGCGGGGGACUUGGAGUGGCAUGCAGGAGCAAACCUUGCACGAAAAAAAGGAGGAAAAACAAGAGCUGAAGGACUCCAAGGGGUGGGGAUGGUAAAGAAGAAAAGAGCGUGGAGAGGGCUGAUCCCCCAGUACAAAGGAACAGACCUUGGGAGGGCGGUACCCAAGAAAGCGCUGGCCUGGUGUAAGUAACAUGAGGCAACACUCCCCUCCCCACACAUUGCACCGCAGCAUAUGGCUCCUCUCUGAACUUAUUAGCUGGCGGAUUAAGGCCAAUCGCCGAGACCCAAGGGCCUGUGGCUGCCUCCGCUGCACCCUCCCUCAUCCCUCUUCACCCCCCAGGAAUGAUGCUGACUGACAAGGAGCAUUGUGUCGGGCACCUGGGUUGCCACACCUCUCACUUACCCUGUCAUCCACUGCAGUUUGAUGAGGUUAUUUGGUAGAGAUAACAGCAGCAACUAACUUAAAAUUUAAAAGAUAUUCCGUGUUGAAUCUAAACAACAACUUUCAAACCUUUCUGCAUCAAAGUAUAAUAAAAUUCAUAAUGUAAUUGUGUUAUCUUUCACUUUUGUGUCAAGGAUUAUAAACACCUGAGUGUGUAACACAGAUUAAUCCGGCAGAUACGACGUCUAAUUAGCAUCUCACUGCAGCUCAACAUGCUAGCCCAAUUUGAGCACAGACUUGCUGAGAAAAAAGGCUCCAUUGGACAGAGGUUGAUUAUAGGUCCAUUAUGCAGAAACUAGUUAGUGAUGGGAUCCAAGCAUGGAAAGCUUGGAGGAAACUGUGAGGGGCCCUGAGCUGGAGUACAGAGGUGUUAGCAGUCAACGGGGUCUACAGGAAGCCAAAGCUGGGGGAGGCUUUACGGUAGUCUCUGGCCUUCCUGAGUGGUCAUGGAGAGAUUUUUGACAGUAGAGUGCCCCCCCCACUUAAGCUCUCAUUUGAUGUGCAUCGCAGCAGGUGAUCCUGUGCCUCUUUUUGUGUCAGACCAUGGGGGUCACAGACUCAGAGUGACUUGUCUUACCUGGCACCCCUGAAGACACCUUCUUUAAAGAGUUGGAGAGGCAUAAAUUCAGUAUUAGGUAUCCACCAACUGCAGAGUACCACCUGGCCAUAAGGUUGCAGGGUCAGCUUCACACUGAGACAGGGUGCUACAGGCCUGAUUCAUUAAUCCCCUCUACUGCUGGCAGGGGUUAGAGGACCCACAGGUCAGAUACCGAGCAGAGAAGCCAUCUUCCCGGUUCAUUUAGACUGGAUUAGAGGGCCAACAGGGCUGGCUCCACAUGAGUGAGGUCUCACGCCUGGAGAUCAUGAAGGUAUUUCUUAGAAAGGCCCGCUUCCAGUUUGAUCUGAUAUCACCUGAGGUUGAUGACUUUAAGGACACGAUAAUAUAAUUGUAAUUAUAAAAGUAAAUUUGGUAAUAUAAAAAAGUUUUACCAUAGAAAAAAAAACCUGUUUAUUAUUUUAAUUGCAGAAAAAUAUAUAUAUAUUUUUAUUUCCUGUUACUUUUGGGAACCAAUUACUAUGACUUAAUUGGGAGAAUUAAACUCCAAAACUAUAGCCAUAAUAUAAAGUGCUACAACUGUAGGAAUACAUGUGGAAAAACAGGUGAAAAACAGCAGCACUGAAGCAAUUGCAGCAAAACUUCACGUUUAGAUGCACAAUUUCUAAGGGAAAAACAGAAACAUUUUAUAUCCUCUUGAAAAAGUAUAAUUUUAGAUUAAUUCAGGGGAAGACUAAAAUCUUAAGGAAAACAAUAUUUUUUAUAGCAAAAUUAUGGUAUCAAAAUAAAAAAUGUUUUACCAAAUAUUACUUAUAUUACAAAUAUUAUUAUAUUAUUUUUUUAGAUCUUAUGUAGCAUGAAUUGUUCUAAUUUUUGUGAUUUUUUUCAGUUUUUAAGAAACGUUUUUAAAUUCACAUUAAAUAUAUAUUUGAUGUCUUGCCUUUGAGACCCAUAUUUUACUUUUUUCCUUGUUUUUUGAAGUGAUAAACUCCUAUGGAACUAGGGUUAAAACAUGUAAUCUCACAUAACUUUACAUUUAAAGAUACAUUUAAUG